ACUAGAAUUAUCUAGGGAUCUUGUUAGAAUGCAGAUUCUGAGUCUGUAAGUCUGGGAUGGGGCUCUGGAUUCUGCGCUUCUAACAAGAUCCCAGGUGAUGUUUGU
rnacentral:pre_miRNA from 1 species